CCUACGGGGGGCAGCAGUGGGGAAUAUUGCACAAUGGAGGGAACUCUGAUGCAGCGACGCCGCGUGAGCGAUGAAGGCUUUCGGGUCGUAAAGCUCUGUCCUAGGGGACGAUAAUGACGGUACCCUAGGAGGAAGCCCCGGCUAACUACGUGCCAGCAGCCGCGGUAAUACGUAGGGGGCGAGCGUUGUCCGGAAUUAUUGGGCGUAAAGGGUACGCAGGCGGCCAUGUAAGUCAGAUGUGAAAGACAUAGGCUUAACUUAUGUAAGCAUUUGAAACUGCGUGGCUUGAGUUAAGGAGAGGAAAGUGGAAUUCCUAGUGUAGCGGUGAAAUGCGUAGAUAUUAGGAAGAAUACCAGUGGCGAAGGCGACUUUCUGGACUUAUACUGACGCUGAGGUACGAAAGCGUGGGGAGCAAACAGGAUUAGAUACCCUUGUAGUC
rnacentral:rRNA from 1 species